UUUCUUGUUUUAUUUGAACAAGAAACCGCAAUCUUGAAUCCUUUCUGUCUCUCCCCGCCGGCGACGAAGUUCUAGUCGCCGGUGGAUCGCCGUCCGCCGGGAAUGGAACUCUCUGCAUCAUAGUUGAUGAUCUUUAGUUGGGCAUCUUCUUCCUUCUUUUAGGCUCUUUGAUUCAGAGAAAUAUUAUGGUAUGAUUUUGGUCACAAUUGUUACUAUUCUAGUUUCGUACCUCAAUGUCAUUAUUGAUGAUGGAUUAAGGUUAGGAAUACCGGCCAUCCAUGGUUAUUUGAUCAAGUUCUAGGUGCACUUGUAUUGAAAUAAAUUGAUAGAAAAAUAAAAUAUUUGAUACAUGAAUAGAGUGCUUCGCGCACGGAACUUAUUUGGUUUAUAGCAUAAGAUAUUUUCGUAAAUAGGACGUUGGGACCAUAUGACGUGUUAUUUUUCUUGAAUAUACAAGGAACAUUAAUAUAAUAUAAAUACUAACCGUAUCUCUAUUAUUGAAUAAUUAACAACUGAAAGUUUCUUGGAAUUUGCUUGGACUAGCAUCUAAUGCUCCAUUGCUAUCUACAAUCUUGAUUUGUUUUGUAGCCAGAAUUGCCAGUCCUGGCAAAAUGAAACUCUCAGCAAAAACAAAGGUAGUUUAGACUAAAACCCAGGACAGCAUUGAUGCAUUAUUAUACCAGCACCCAACUGUCUGAAUUGGUUGUUGUCCAUUACUUUAAAGUGCAUCCUUAAAUCUAAUUGUACUUUUUUUCUGGGCAUUCUGCUUUAGUUUGUAUCAAUGCCAGCUUAUCCCUAUGCUGUGUUCUGAUCAGGCUACCAUAAAGAAAUCCUCUCAGACCCCAUCCUUUUUGACUAAAUGACUGGUUGUGCUAAUUCACUCUUUAAUUAACCAAUCUUCAUCCUCCUACUGUAUGUACAAUUUGAUCUUGUUUUUAUGCUUUGACAUUUACUACUAAUUCUUUACCAACUUUCAUUUGUAACUUUAUCUAUUAGUGUUGAAAUCUUGACAUUCAUUUGUUGUUUUGUUUAA